UUGAACGCUGGCGGCAGGCCUAACACAUGCAAGUCGAGCGGUAGAGAGGUGCUUGCAUCUCUUGAGAGCGGCGGACGGGUGAGUAAUGCCUAGGAAUCUGCCUAGUGGUGGGGGAUAACGUUCGGAAACGGACGCUAAUACCGCAUACGUCCUACGGGAGAAAGCGGGGGGAUCUUCGGACCUCGCGCCAUUAGAUGAGCCUAGGUCGGAUUAGCUAGUUGGUGAGGUAAUGGCUCACCAAGGCGACGAUCCGUAACUGGUCUGAGAGGAUGAUCAGUCACACUGGAACUGAGACACGGUCCAGACUCCUACGGGAGGCAGCAGUGGGGAAUAUUGGACAAUGGGCGAAAGCCUGAUCCAGCCAUGCCGCGUGUGUGAAGAAGGUCUUCGGAUUGUAAAGCACUUUAAGUUGGGAGGAAGGGUAGUAACCUAAUACGUUGCUACUUUGACGUUACCGACAGAAUAAGCACCGGCUAACUUCGUG
rnacentral:rRNA from 1 species